ensembl:misc_RNA Metazoa_SRP Metazoan signal recognition particle RNA
GCUGGGCAUGGUGGCUCAUGCCUGUAAUCCCAGCACUUUGGGAGGCUGAGGCGGGUGGAUCACCUGAGGUCAGGAGUUCGAGACCAGCCUGACCAACAUGGUGAAACCCUGUCUCUA